CGUUUAAAUUUUAUUCCUCCGCGAAUGAACGAAAGACUGAAACUUCUUUUCUUUUUUUUCUUUUUUUUUUUUUGAUUUACGAAGAGAAAGAUGUCGAAUUAAAUCGAUUGAUUAACGAAAUAUCUGCAUCUCGCAUUUUCAUUGUCACAAAUUAACGCGUGUAACGUAUCUCGACAAUAAAACCAGCUUCGACAACGCUUGUGUGUCAAGCUCGUCUUGGCUUUUAUUCAUUACACUAUCGUGUUGAUAAAUUCGAUCGUUUAUGAGAUUAAUUGGUUUUCGUUGGGUCAAUGGCUUGUGCAAGCGUAUCGACGUGGUCUGGAAUACUCGAUGACCCAGUUCAUAGUCCGUUAUUUCGAUUAGACUUUUUACUAUCGAUACUAAUAUUAAAACCAUGGCGUCGAGUGUAACAUAUUAUUAUUAUUAUUGUGAAAUAACAAAAAAUAUAUAUAUAAACUUUAAAAAUAUGAGAUGCACGAUGUAUCUAAUCAACUUUAAAAUUACGAUUAUCGAAUUUAUAUGCAAAUACAUAUAAGCAUACGUAAUAAGUAUAAAUCCAUCACCCACAAUGAACAAUAUCAACAUGCAUCACCACCAUUCGUUCGUUAUCUGUUGAGAAGAGCGAUUUGUACGACUGUCGUCAAUCUUUCGGUAUUCAUACAUGGGUAAUAUAAAUGGUAAACUGGUAUUGUUUGUUGUGGUGUGUUUAUUUUCAAAACGUAAUAAUCGCAGGGAAGAUAUUGGUUGUAUACAAUUACAGCAAGGCAAAGUGUGCGCCUACAACGAAGAGAGAGCCAAUUUCCUUUCCUGGUCUGGUCUGGAACCAGGGUGACUUAAGUCCGUCGAUGAUUACAGAACGACGAGGCUUUAAUUUAAUCCUCCGUAGUUUUUUAGGGUCGUAAACGAAACCGGUUGCAUCCAACUGGAAUAUACAUAGAGCUAGAACCGUACACGUUCGCAUAAAGAUGUUCCUUUCCGGCUGAGAAAUACCUGAAGGGAUCUCGUCCAGUCCAGUUCGAGUGGAACCAGCGCGGUUCGAGAAUUUACGAACGCGUACGACUCUUUUCGUAAAGUGGAAAAAUAAUUUUGAUAAAUUGUUAAAAAUGAUGGUAAUCGCGACGAAUGAGAGGAAAAAAUAUUCGAUUCUUGAAAUUAUCAAGGUUAGGUUUGACAAGGCAUCAAUUUAUGACGGAUCGAUCAAAGUGAACGAUGACAGUAAUAUAUAAUAAUUAUUAUCCAUAAGACAAUGGUUUUGUAUAUAAUAUAAUGCUCAGACGAAACCGGUUUCCAGGUAGAUUUAUUCCUUAUCAAAACGAAAUGAGUAAUUCUUGCUUGCUACGCAGAAUUCUAGUUGAUCAUUCUAGCCAAUAUACUUUUUUUUUCCCCCAUUCUCGAAGAGAGGAAAAGAAAAGGAAGAAAGGAAAAAGAAAGAAAGCAAGAUAAAUGUUAACCUGAACGACCCAGUAAACCAGAAAUCUAACUGUGUCAACAGGCAAGAUUAUGCACGCAUACGCAUCCGGCAAUAUAGUUUCUAGUAACCCGUCACUUACGCCCUUCUUCGAUACACAUAUAUGCAUAAGCGGAAAAGGGGACGUGGAUCGAUGAUUAUAACACGUAACAUAGUGGUGAUUAGAUGGUAUGUACAAUGUAUUGUAAAAUGGAAAGUGACGUAAUAUAAUCUCAAAUAUAAAUCCUAUAUUCUCGUGUCCUUUGUUCGCAGAAGAAUUGUGAAGCGGUUGGAUCUUCUAAAUCUUGUCUCAAUUUUGCUCUUAAUCCUUAAUCCUUCUUUCAAUUUGAUCGUAACGAGUUGUAAAUGUUAAGUGACGAAUGGAGGAAAUGUUUUGAUGGUCGUGCUCUGGAUUCAGGUUAUGUUCAGUUAACUGUUAAUCAUAGCCGUAACUUCGUCGUUUCUGAAAUUGAUGGAAAUAUACAAGAUGAGUGAGGCUUAUGCUGGAAGGAGAUGCUAUAAAGUGAAAUUUAAAGUGAUUGAAAAAGAAAAUCAACGAAUCAAGUGCAAUACAAUUUCUAUUUCUCUAUUUGAGAAAUUUAUCAUAUACCACGGAAGAACAAUACCUUUCUGUCUGCAAGCUUGAUUAAGUGAAACAUGGAAAUAAAGAAAAUUUUCUACA